rnacentral:pre_miRNA from 1 species
CAACUACUCCCUUCAUCCCAAAAUUCUUGUCUUAAAUUUGUCUAGACAUAAAUGUAUCUAGUAACAUUUUAAUAUUUAGAUACAUUUGUUUUUAGACAAACUUAAGACAAGAAUUUUAGCACGGAGGUGUCAUGUU